rnacentral:rRNA from 1 species
UACGGAGGGUGCGAGCGUUAAUCGGAAUUACUGGGCGUAAAGGGCGCGUAGGUGGUUCGAUAAGUCAGAUGUGAAAUCCCCGGGCUCAACCUGGGAAUUGCAUUUGAUACUGUCGAACUAGAGUGUGGUAGAGGUAAGCGGAAUUCCCGGUGUAGCGGUGAAAUGCGUAGAUAUCGGGAAGAACAUCAGUGGCGAAGGCGGCUUACUGGAUCAACACUGACACUGAGGCGCGAAAGCGUGGGUAGCAAAC